AACGCGAAGAACCUUACCAAGGCUUGACAUCUACAGAAUCUGUUAGAAAUAGCGGAGUGCCCGAAAGGGAACUGUAAGACAGGUGGUGCAUGGCUGUCGUCAGCUCGUGUCGUGAGAUGUUGGGUUAAGUCCCGCAACGAGCGCAACCCUCGAUGCUAGUUACCAUCAUUAAGUUGGGGACUCUAGCGUGACUGCCGGUGAUAAGCCGGAGGAAGGUGAGGACGACGUCAAGUCAUCAUGCCCCUUACGUCUUGGGCUACACACGUCCUACAAUGGCAUAGACAAAGGGCUGCAAGCUAGCGAUAGUGAGCGAAUCCCAUAAACUAUGUCUCAGUUCGGAUUGCAGGCUGCAACUCGCCUGCAUGAAGUUGGAAUCGCUAGUAACCGUAGAUCAGCACGCUACGGUGAAUACGUUCCCGGGCCUUGUACACACCGUGUCGA
rnacentral:rRNA from 1 species